rnacentral:Y_RNA from 1 species
AGCUGGUCCAAAGGUAGUGAGCUAUCUCAAUUGACUGUUCAGUCAGUUACACACCGAACUCCUUGUUCUACUCUUUCCCCCUUAUUACUACUACAUUUAGCCUUUU